GAUGAACGCUGGCGGCGUGCCUAAUACAUGCAAGUCGAGCGAACAGACGAGGAGCUUGCUCCUUCGACGUUAGCAGCGGACGGGUGAGUAACACGUAGGUAACCUACCUAUAAGACUGGGAUAACUUCGGGAAACCGGAGCUAAUACCGGAUAAUAUUUCGAACCGCAUGGUUCGAUAGUGAAAGAUGGCUUUGCUAUCACUUAUAGAUGGACCUGCGCCGUAUUAGCUAGUUGGUAAGGUAACGGCUUACCAAGGCAACGAUACGUAGCCGACCUGAGAGGGUGAUCGGCCACACUGGAACUGAGACACGGUCCAGACUCCUACGGGAGGCAGCAGUAGGGAAUCUUCCGCAAUGGGCGAAAGCCUGACGGAGCAACGCCGCGUGAGUGAUGAAGGUCUUCGGAUCGUAAAACUCUGUUAUUAGGGAAGAACAAACGUGUAAGUAACUGUGCACGUCUUGACGGUACCUAAUCAGAAAGCCACGGCUAACUACGUG
rnacentral:rRNA from 1 species